UUUUUUUGAGACAGAGUCUUGCUCUGUCACCCUGGCUGGAGUGCAGUGGUGUGAUCACGGCUCACUGCAGCCUUGACCUCCUGGGCUCUGGUGAUCCUCUCACCUCAGCCUCCUGAAUAGGUGGAACUACAGGCACGUGCCACAAAGCCCGGCUAAUUUUUCUAUUUUUUGUAGAGACAGGGUUUUGUCAUGUUUCCUGGGCUGGUCUUGAACUCCUGGGCUCAAGUGAUCAGUCAGUCUUGGCCUCCCAAAGUGCUAGGAUUAUAGGCGUGAGCCACUAUGCCCUGCCCGUGGUUUCUACUUCUAAAACCACCAGAGAGACUGUUACAACAUCAUUUUUAUCUAUAAAACCAAGUUUUGGUUAGGACAUAUAGAACACUGAAUGGAAAACUACAUUGGGAUUAACAAAACCUAGUCCUAUAUUAAUUUUGCAUCAGAUUUGUAUCAUCCUGGAUAAGCACAUGGACCUCUGAAUUGUGGUCUCUUCAUUUCUAUCAUCAUUCCUGUUAUGUUUGUGGGAAUGGUGGGAGGGUUAAAGCAUUGUCAAAAGCCUUAGUUUAUUCUUUGAAUCUCUGUGGUGCUUUUGAAAACUAUUGUUCAAUCAACUUAAUCUGGGAUGAGGUAAUAUAUACAGUAGUUCAAUACUAGAAAUCAUUGCCUGGUGACCAGAGCCAGUGAUUUUAGGUACAUGAGUUUAAGUAUAAUUUCAAAUUUAAACUUUAAUGUAACCAAGUAGGUAUCUCUUUGUGAAAUCUCCCCUGCUAUCCUAGAAAUUUAAUUUCUCCUUUCUAAUUCUGUACCUUGUAUAACUAAUUUGGCACAUAUCUUGAUAUACUGUAAUUUUUAGGGUCCGCUAUUGUACUGCACAUUCCUUAAGGAAAAGCGCUGGACUUCAUUUAUUCUCAAGGGCAGCAGGGUGGAGAAUGAGUAAGACACAGGCUCAAAAGCCAACCUGCUGGCUUUAAAUCCAGGUUACACCACUGGCUGUCUCUGUGAUCUUAAUAUCUCCCUCCCUUAGUUUUCUCAGUUUUAAAAUGAAGACAUUAAUAAAAGCAUCUUGCUAGUUGGGAUGAAAUAAAUGAAUAUAUGUCACUGGGAUCAAUUCAAGUUUUAUGGACCUAAAGUUUAAAUAAUUUUGUAGUACUCCUUAAGAGAAAGAAAACAAAAUUUUGUGUGGAAAUAUAUUUAAAGUGAUGAAAGAACAAGCUACACACACAAAAAAAAUAAAAUACAGAAUGUAGCAAGCUAUCUUAAGAAAACUAAGAGCCUAAUAUACCUCUAUAAUUUUUCCUUCUUCUUUGGCUAUAUGUUCUUUGAUUGUAUUUUCAUAUAAAAAGUUAAAUAUUGAGAUAACAGAAAGAUUUUAGUAUUCAGCAUAGCUGAUUGAAGUUUGUUUUUUAUUAAUCAUUUAGAAACGUUUAUCUCUGCUUUACAGCUCAUCAGUAGUGUCAUACACAUUUUUAGGAUUAUUGUCAAAUUUGGGAAAGCCUCUAUCAAGAUAUUAUUUCUGGCCUGCAACUUCAUGUUACAAUGCCUGCUGAGAGUUAAUUCCUCAGUGUGGAAGAAAUUAAGACUGCUACCAGCCUUCCUUGAAUUCCCUCCAAACCCAUGUGAGUAAACUUCUGCAUCAUUUUCUCUGCUUAGCACUCUAUUUUCUCACCAAACUGAUGCCCUGUCAGGAGUUCCAGUUCAUUUGGCUAGAGUGAGAACAUCUGUUUAAGUUAUCUGUUGUUGCCUAACAAAUGUCAAAGAAAAAAAUUAUUCGUGACACUCGGUGAAGCACAGUAAGGCAGACAUUUUUCAGAACAUCUUGGUAGGUGAAGGGAUGGCACAGUGGGGUCCUGCAGUAGGGGAGAGAGAUUGUGC
rnacentral:lncRNA from 1 species